rnacentral:rRNA from 1 species
UACGAGGGGGGCAAAUGUUGUUCGGAAUCACUGGGCGUAAAGGGAGCGUAGGCGGGUUCUUAAGUUAGGUGUUUAAUCCCGGGGCCCAACCCCGGACCGGCACUUAAAACUGGGAAUCUUGAAUAGUGGAGAGGUCAGUGGAAUUGGGGGUGUAGCGGUGGAAUGCGUAGAGAUCCCCAAGAACACCAGUUGCGAAGGCGGCUGACUGGACACAUAUUGACGCUGAGGUGCGAAAGCGUGGGGAGCAAACAGG